AUUGAACGCUGGCGGCAGGCCUAACACAUGCAAGUCGAGCGAGCGGCGGACGGGUGAGUAAUAUCUGGGAAACUGCCUGAUGGAGGGGGAUAACUACUGGAAACGGUAGCUAAUACCGCAUACCAUCAGAUGUGCCCAGAGGGGAUUAGCUGGUAGGUGGGGUAACGGCUCACCUAGUCCACGAUCCCUAGGUGGUCUGAGAGGAGGACCAGCCACAGUGGAACGGAGCACUGUUCCAGAAGCGUACGGGCGGUAUCAGUGGGGAAUAUGGCAGUGUGGGUGCAAGCCUGAGUCAUGCAUGCGGGGUGUGUGGAGAAGGCAGGCGGGUUGUAAAGCACUUUCAGCGGGGAGGCGUUACCCGUAGAAGAAGCACCGGCUAACUCCGUGCCAGCAGCCGCGGUAAUUC
rnacentral:rRNA from 1 species